rnacentral:rRNA from 1 species
UACGGAGGGUGCGAGCGUUGUCCGGAAUCAUUGGGCGUAAAGGGCGCGUAGGUGGCGGGACAAGCGUGCGGUGAAAGCUCGGGGCUCAACCCCGCGUCGGCCGUGCGAACUGUUUUGCUUGAGCACUGUAGAGGCAGGCGGAAUUCCGGGUGUAGCGGUGGAAUGCGUGGAGAUCCGGAAGAACACCGGUGGCGAAGGCGGCCUGCUGGGCUAUGGCUGACACUGAGGCGCGACAGCGUGGGGAGCAAACAGG